AUUCUACCCGAUAAAACCAUUUUUCGAGAUGCUCGAUACCUUCUUCAUGUUAGCUGCCCUAUGAACCUGAAGGAUUAUCCGAUGGACAAGCAAACUUGUCAGCUGAGGACUGGUUUAUACUCGUACCCAGAUGACAAAGUGCUCAUUAAAUGGACAAAU